rnacentral:lncRNA from 1 species
CCAAACCCUAGAAAAUGACAUGUCCACUGAUUCUACCGCCGUUCCUCUCCCCGCCGUUAUGAAAGCUCCGAUCCGACCCGACGUCGUCACCUACGUUCACUCCAACAUUUCCAAAAACGCCCGUCAACCUUACGCCGUUUCGAAGAAAGCUGGUCACCAAACCUCGGCUGAGUCAUGGGGUACUGGUCGUGCUGUUUCCCGUAUCCCUCGUGUACCUGGUGGUGGUACCCACCGUGCUGGUCAAGGUGCUUUUGGUAAUAUGUGUCGUGGUGGUCGUAUGUUUGCUCCUACUAAGAUCUGGCGAAGAUGGCAUAGGAAGAUCCCGGUGAACCAGAAAAGGUACGCUGUUGUUUCUGCUAUUGCUGCUUCUUCAGUCCCUUCAUUGGUUCUCGCUAGGGGUCAUAGAAUUGAGACUGUUCCUGAGCUUCCGCUUGUUGUAUCCGAUUCGAUUGAGGGGAUUGAGAAGACUAACAAUGCGAUCAAGGCGUUGAAGCAAAUUGGUGCGUAUCCAGAUGCUGAGAAGGCGAAGGACAGUCAUGCGAUUCGUCCAGGAAAGGGAAAAAUGCGUAAUCGUAGGUACAUUUCGAGGAAAGGGCCAUUGAUUGUGUAUGGAACUGAAGGGG